AAUAGGUAGAGGUAUUUAGUGGCUGGGUGCACUAGCUUUGCCAGUGUGAGCUCAAAUUUUAGAUUGCCAGCUGUGCCCUGUGUAACUGUGGUUCUCCAGUGUCUAACCAAGCCAGACAGUCACUCAUAGACCUGUCAUGUUUUGUCUCUGGAACUUUGAAAACUACCACAUACCUGACUUUCUCCAGGCUGGCUUUAUACUUGCUCUGAGGUUCCUAGUUAAUGCUCUAAUUUUCCAACAUGGUGCUGGCUGUGACAAAAGCAGGGCAGGAACUGGCUGCUGUGACUUCGGGAGACCAACAUAAUUUCAAUAAAGCAUUGCGGGCCUUUAUUAUUAUAGGCAGUCCUCAACAGUCAAGAUGUUCACCAAUGACUUUGUCUGCCUAAUCUGCUCAUGAGCAUGUGUGUCAUGCUUUGGACUUCAGAGUCACUCCAGAAUCCACAAAAGAGAGAGAAUGAAAACAUCAUCGUCAAACCGAUGGACUACACACACAGUGCUCGACUUUAUGAUGUUUGACUUAAGACUAACUGCACUUACGACAUUUCUGAAUUGACAUCCUGAUUCAACUUACAACCAUUGAUUUCGACUUUAGAAUGCUCGGUCCAGCAAUGGAGUGUAGUGUGGUUCCAAGUUACAGCGUUUUGACUUAUGACACAAUUUUCAGGAACCAAUGGUGUCAUAAGUCUGAGGACUGCCUGUAUGUUACUGGUGGCAUUUUCAAAAGUGCUCAGGAUUGACCUAACUCUGUUCCCAUUGAAGUCAAUGAGAAUUUUUAACUUAAAUGGGAGGAGAGUUAGGCCAAGAGAAUGUUUGAAAAUCCAUCCAUGUUUGUAAAAAUACAACCUGACCAAUUUUCAACACAUAAUAUUUUUGGUAUACAUUUUUGUUAUAAAUACAUACAAAAUGUACCUUAAAAGAAUAUUAAGGUUUCAAGGU